CGGUAGCAAUACGUCAGCGGCAGGCGGGUGAGUAACACGUGGGAACGUACCUUUUGGUUCGGAACAACUGAGGGAAACUUCAGCUAAUACCGGAUAAGCCCUAACGGGGAAAGAUUUAUCGCCGAAAGAUCGGCCCGCGUCUGAUUAGCUAGUUGGUGAGGUAAUGGCUCACCAAGGCGACGAUCAGUAGCUGGUCUGAGAGGAUGAUCAGCCACACUGGGACUGAGACACGGCCCAGACUCCUACGGGAGGCAGCAGUC
rnacentral:rRNA from 1 species